rnacentral:rRNA from 1 species
GAAGGUGAGAGGAAAGGCUUCGGUGCUCGGGGAGGGGCCUGCGGCCCAUCAGCUAGUUGGAGAGGUAACGGCUCCCCAAGGCAAUGACGGGUAGGGGGUGUGAGAGCAUGGCCCCCCGCACUGGGACUGAGACACGGCCCAGACUCCUACGGGAGGCAGCAGCAGGGAAUAUUGCGCAAUGGACGGAAGUCUGACGCAGCGACGCCGCGUGGAUGACGAAGGCCUUCGGGUUGUAAAAUCCUUUUCCGGGCGAUGAGGAAGGACACUAGCCUGGGAAUAAGCGUCGGCUAACUACGUGCCAGCAGCCGCGGUAAGACGUAGGACGCGAGCGUUAUCCGGAUUUACUGGGCGUAAAGCGCCUGCAGGCGGUCAGGUAAGUCGGUUGUGAAAGCCCCGUGCUCAACGCGGGGAGGCCAAGCGAUACUGCGUGACUUGAGGGCGGAAGAGGGGAGUGGAAUUCCCGGUGUAGCGGUAAAAUGCGCAGAUAUCGGGAGGAACACCAGUGGCGAAGGCGGCUCCCUGGACCGCACCUGACGCUCAGAGGCGAAAGCUAGGGGAGCGAACAGGAUUAGAGACCCUGGUAGUCCUAGCCCUAAACGCUGGAUGCUAGGUGUAGGGCUGAUGAGGCUCUGUGCCGGAGCGAACGCGAUAAGCAUCCCGCCUGGGAACUACGGCCGCAAGGCUAAAACUCAAACGAAUUGACGGGGACCCGCACAAGCAGCGGAGCGUGUGGUUUAAUUCGAUGCUACACGAAGAACCUUACCUGGGUUUGACAUGCUGGUGGUACCGAACUGAAAGGGGAGGGACCUUUCGGGGAGCCAACACAGGUGUUGCAUGGCUGUCGUCAGCUCGUUCUGUGAUGGUGUCGGGUUAAGUCCCGUAACGAGCGCAACCAUUGCUCUUAGUUAUACGUGUCUAAGGGGACUGUCGGCGACAAGCCGGAGGAAGGUGGGGAUGACGUCAAGUCAGCAUGGCCUUGAUAUCCAGGGCUACACACACGCUACAAUGGCCGUACUAAAGGGCAGCCAAGCCGCGAGGUGGAGCGAAUCCCAGCAAAGCCGGUCCCAGUUCGGAUGCAGGGCUGCAACCCGCCUGCAUGAAGUUGG